CCGGACCUGACUGCUAUCGGAUUGGUACUAAGCCAUGCGAGUCAUUGUAGCAAUACAAGGCGGACGGCUCAGUAACACGUAGUCAACCUAACUCGUGGACGUGGAUAACCUCGGGAAACUGAGAAUAAACCACGAUAGAUCAUAGUGCCCGGAAUGGCUUAUGGUCCAAACAGUUUACUGCCAUGGGAUGGGACUGCGGCCUAUCAGCUUGUUGGUGAGGUAAUGGCCCACCAAGGCGAUUACAGGUACGGGCUCUGAGAGGAGAAGCCCGGAGAUGGGUACUGAGACACGGACCCAGGCCCUAUGGGGCGCAGCAGGCGAGAAACCUUAGCAAUGUGCGAAAGCACGACUGGGUCAGUCCGAGUGAUUCCUGAUAAAGGAGUCUUUUGCCUGUCCUAAAAGCACAGGUGAAUAAGGGGUGGGCAAGUCUGGUGUCAGCCGCCGCGGUAAUACCAGCACCUCGAGUGGUCAGGACGUUUAUUGGGCCUAAAGCAUCCGUAGCCGGCUCUGCAAGUCUUCGGUUAAAUCCACCUGCUCAACAGAUGGGCCGCUGGAGAUACUACAGAGCUAGGGAGUGGGAGAGGCAGACGGUAUUCAGUGGGUAGGGGUAAAAUCCUCUGAUCCAUUGAGGACCACCAGUGGCGAAGGCGGUCUGCCAGAACACGUUCGACGGUGAGGGAUGAAAGCUGGGGGAGCAAACCGGAUUAGAUACCCGGGUAGUCCCAGCUGUAAACGAUGCAAACUCGGUGAUGCAUUGGCUUAUGGCCAAUGCAGUGCCGCAGGGAAGCCGUUAAGUUUGCCGCCUGGGAAGUACGGACGCAAGUCUGAAACUUAAAGGAAUUGGCGGGGGAGCACCACAAGGGUGAAGCCUGCGGUUCAAUUGGAGUCAACGCCGG
rnacentral:rRNA from 1 species